rnacentral:lncRNA from 1 species
AUAGAACUUCCAAAGAAAUAUCCUCCUUUUAUUGCCUCAGUGAAAAAGAGAGGUUUGAAUCUCUCUGAGAUUGUUUGUUCUACAUUCUCCAUGGGAUGGUUUGGAGAAAAAGAGAGUAGAAGGACUGUGAGGAUUGACUGCUUUAUGAAAGAAAGUACUGUAAAUAUUUAUGUGAGGCCUAUUAGUGGAUUAACAAUUGUUGUUGAUCUUGGUCGUAUGAAAAUUGUUGAGUAUCAUGACAGGGAAAUUGAAACUGUGCCUACAGCUGAGAACAAUGAAUAUCAGGUUUCAAAACAAAACCCACCAUUUGGACCAAAACAGCAUAGUCUUGCAAGUCAUCAACCUCAAGGUCCUGGCUUCCA